rnacentral:rRNA from 1 species
GACGUAGGGGGCCAGCGUUGUUCGGAAUUACUGGGUGUAAAAGGUUCGUAGGCGGUGCGGCAAGUCGGGAGUGAAAUCUCUGGGCUCAACCCAGAGGCUGCUUCCGAAACUGCUGUGCUUGAGUGUGGGAGAGGCGCGUGGAAUUGCAGGUGUAGCGGUGAAAUGCGUAGAUAUCUGCAGGAACACCCGUGGCGAAAGCGGCGCGCUGGACCACUACUGACGCUGAAGAACGAAAGCUAGGGGAGCAAACAGG